rnacentral:rRNA from 1 species
GGAAUCUUCGGCAAUGGACGAAAGUCUGACCGAGCAACGCCGCGUGAGUGAAGAAGGUUUUCGGAUCGUAAAACUCUGUUGGUAGAGAAGAACGUUGGUGAGAGUGGAAAGCUCAUCAAGUGACGGUAACUACCCAGAAAGGGACGGCUAACUACGUGUCAG